rnacentral:rRNA from 1 species
CAGGCUUAACACAUGCAAGUCGAGGGGCAGCAUGGUCUUAGCUUGCUAAGGCCGAUGGCGACCGGCGCACGGGUGAGUAACACGUAUCCAACCUGCCGUCUACUCUUGGACAGCCUUCUGAAAGGAAGAUUAAUACAAGAUGGCAUCAUGAGUCCGCAUGUUCACAUGAUUAAAGGUAUUCCGGUAGACGAUGGGGAUGCGUUCCAUUAGAUAGUAGGCGGGGUAACGGCCCACCUAGUCUUCGAUGGAUAGGGGUUCUGAGAGGAAGGUCCCCCACAUUGGAACUGAGACACGGUCCAAACUCCUACGGGAGGCAGCAGUGAGGAAUAUUGGUCAAUGGGCGCAGGCCUGAACCAGCCAAGUAGCGUGAAGGAUGACUGCCCUAUGGGUUGUAAACUUCUUUUAUAUGGGAAUAAAGUUUUCCACGUGUGGAAUUUUGUAUGUACCAUAUGAAUAAGGAUCGGCUAACUCCGUGCCAGCAGCCGCGGUAAUACGGAGGAUCCGAGCGUUAUCCGGAUUUAUUGGGUUUAAAGGGAGCGUAGGUGGACAGUUAAGUCAGUUGUGAAAGUUUGCGGCUCAACCGUAAAAUUGCAGUUGAUACUGGCUGUCUUGAGUACAGUAGAGGUGGGCGGAAUUCGUGGUGUAGCGGUGAAAUGCUUAGAUAUCACGAAGAACUCCGAUUGCGAAGGCAGCUCACUGGACUGCAACUGGACCUGAUGCUCGAAAG